rnacentral:rRNA from 1 species
AGAGUUUGAUCCUGGCUCAGAACGAACGCUGGCGGCGUGCCUAAUACAUGCAAGUCGAACGAGAAUUCCCGGCUUCGGUUGGGAUAGUAAAGUGGCGAACGGGUGAGUAACACGUGGAUAACCUGCCUGUGCAACCGGAAUAAUCCCUCGAAAGGGGGCUUAAUACCGGAUAAUAUCUCGAAGCGGCAUCGCUUUGAGAUCAAAGACGGGGCAACCUGUCGUGUACAGAUGGAUCCGCGCCCCAUUAGCUAGUUGGCGGGGUAACGGCCCACCAAGGCUGAGAUGGGUAGCCGGCCUGAGAGGGUGAACGGCCACACUGGGACUGAGAUACGGCCCAGACUCCUACGGGAGGCAGCAGUAGGGAAUAUUGCGCAAUGGACGAAAGUCUGACGCAGCAACGCCGCGUGGGUGAUGACGCAUUUCGGUGUGUAAAACCCUGUCAGUGGGGAAGAAAAGCAUGAGGAGUAACUGCCUCAUGCCUGACGGUACCCGCAGAGGAAGUCCCGGCUAACUCCGUGCCAGCAGCCGCGGUAAUACGGGGGGGACAAGCGUUGUUCGGAUUUACUGGGCAUAAAGGGCGCGUAGGCGGGCCUUCAAGUCGGAUGUGAAAUCUGGUGGCUUAACCACCAGUCUGCAUUCGAUACUGUUGGUCUUGAGUACGGGAGAGGAGAAUGGAAUUUCAGGUGUAGCGGUGAAAUGCGUAGAUAUCUGAAAGAACACCAGUAGCGAAGGCGGUUCUCUGGACCGAUACUGACGCUGAAGCGCGAAGGCUUGGGGAGCAAACAGGAUUAGAUACCCUGGUAGUCC